rnacentral:misc_RNA from 1 species
AUUAAUAUCAGAAGUAGUAGCAGAAACGUUUUUUUAAGCGAGCCGGUGGCUGGUGUGAACCGGUAUUGACGUGAAGUGAACUUGUCUGUGUUAAUUUCAUAUUUUUUAAAGUUGCACAUUAUGUGAAUGCGGGUGGUACCGCGGUCUUAUAGAUCGUCCCAUAU